rnacentral:rRNA from 1 species
ACCCCACUGCUAUCGGGGUGGGACUAAGACAUGCUAGUCGUGCGCCUCCAAGCCACGGUGGAGGCGCGGCGCACAGCUCAGUAACACGUGGCUAACCUACCCUUGGGACGGGGACAACCCCGGGAAACUGGGGCUAAUCCCCGAUAGGUGAGGACUCCUGGAAUGGGUCCUCGCCGAAAGGGCGUCUAGACCAUGCUUCUAGGCGCUGCCCAAGGAUGGGGCCGCGGCCGAUCAGGUUGUUGGUGAGGUAACGGCUCACCAAGCCUAAGACCGGUACUGGCCGUGAGGGCGGGAGCCCGGAGAUGGACACUGAGACAAGGGUCCAGGCCCUACGGGGCGCAGCAGUCGCGAAACCUCCGCAAUACGCGAAAGCGUGACGGGGCCACCCCGAGUGCCGUCCGCUGAGGACGGCUUUUCCCCAGUGUAGACAGCUGGGGGAAUAAGGGGAGGGCAAGUCGGGUGUCAGCCGCCGCGGUAAUACCCGCUCCCCGAGUGGUGGGGACGCUUAUUGGGCCUAAAGCAUCCGUAGCCGGCUGGACAAGUCCCCUGUUAAAUCCAGCGAUUCAAUCGCUGGACUGCGGGGGGUACUGUCCAGCUAGGGGGCGGGAGAGGCCAGCGGUAUUCCCGGGGUAGGGGUGAAAUCUUAUAAUCCCGGGAGGACCACCAGUGGCGAAGGCUGCUGGCUGGAACGCGCCCGACGGUGAGGGAUGAAAGCUGGGGGAGCGAACCGGAUUAGAUACCCGGGUAGUCCCAGCUGUAAACGAUGCGGGCUAGGUGUUGGCACGGCUACAAGCCGUGUCAGUGCCGCGGGGAAGCCGUUAAGCCCGCCGCCUGGGGAGUACGGCCGCAAGGCUGAAACUUAAAGGAAUUGGCGGGGGAGCACCACAAGGGGUGAAGCUUGCGGUUU